GGGAAAAGGUACAGAUCUAAGUAACUGGAAAUGAGUGAAUCUGUGAGAACAAAGGCUAAUGAAAGUAUUUGAUAAAGUUAUUUUUCAUGGACCUAUAGGUUAACAACUCUAGUAACUCUAUGUAUCUUGGAACUGAAUGAGCCAUUAAAAAAUGGUAUAUAUCAGUCCUGGUUAUAUUAUAUUUCCACUUUCUUUGGACCAUGAUAAGCCCUUGAGUUGCCACUUCACAGCUGGGUAACAUUGGAAUUAAAGGGAAGAACUACACAGAAAGAUUUUGAGAUCUGGAAUGAUGAACCUACCCAAUGGAACUUGGAGUCUACUUAGAGUGACAGACACAGACUCAUGUAGCGAAGAUGACGGCAAGCAGAUGAAUGGAGUAGCAGGAGAGCUGUGGUGAUUAUUCCUGCCCUCCACAAAGGAAGUCAGAAGCACAUGACUGAUGUGAGACCCGAGUCCUUCUGUCUCUGCGGCAGAAGCAGGAAAAGCUGGAGAACAGACUUAAAUCUCACACUGAAGUUGAAGAGAUAAUUUUAGAGACACUGAACUUCGGAAAAGGCCUUUGAUCCACCUCACGUGUGAUAGCCUCAUGUGCGAUAUAAAUAUGCCAGCAGGGGGGACUCUGUCAAGCCUGAAGAAAAGAAUUCACUUGGGGAAAAGGAAAGUUUUACAUUUCUUAUAAACAGCCAACUCUUAUAAGGAGACAGAAGGAGCUAAUAUUAAACU
rnacentral:lncRNA from 1 species